GGGGGUAUAGCUCAAUGGUAGAGCACUUGCCUAGCAUGUGUAAGGCCCUGAGUUCAAUCCCCAGUAGUACCA
rnacentral:tRNA from 1 species